rnacentral:rRNA from 1 species
ACAAGCAGCGGAGCGUGUGGUUUAAUUCGAUGUUACACGAAGAACCUUACCAGGGUUUUGACAUGCUUAAAGUAGAAACUCGAAAGAGGGACGACCUGUAUCCAGUCAGGAAUUUGCACAGGUGCUGCAUGGCUGUCGUCAGCUCGUGCCGUGAGGUGUUAGGUUAAGUCCUGCAACGAGCGCAACCCUCGUCGCUAGUUAUUUUCUCUAGCGAUACUGCCCGUAUAACGUGGAGGAAGGUGGGGAUGACGUCAAGUCAGCAUGGCCCUUACAUCCUGGGCUACACACACGCUACAAUGGGUGAUACAAUAGGUUGCGAUAGAGCGAUCUGUAGCCAAUCCCAAAAAUCAUCCUCAGUACGGAUUGCAGGCUGCAACUGCCUGCAUGAAGUUGGAGUUGCUAGUAAACGCAGGUCAGCACACUGCGUUGAAUACGUUCUCGGGCCUU